CCUACGGGUGGCAGCAGUGGGGAAUAUUGCACAAUGGGGGAAACCCUGAUGCAGCGACGCCGCGUGAGUGAAGAAGUAUCUCGGUACGUAAAGCUCUAUUAGCAGGGAAGAAAAUGACGGUACCUGACUAAGAAGCUCCGGCUAACUACGUGCCAGCAGCCGCGGUAAUACGUAGGGGGCAAGCGUUAUCCGGAUUUACUGGGUGUAAAGGGAGCGUAGACGGCAGCGCAAGUCUGGAGUGAAAUCCCAUGGCUUAACCAUGGAACUGCUGUGGAAACUGUGCAUCUAGAGUGCAGGAGAGGUAAGCGGAAUUCGUGGUGUAGCGGUGAAAUGCGUAGAUAUUAGGAGGAACGCCAGUGGCGAAGGCAGCUUACUGGACUGUAACUGACGUUGAGGCUCGAAAGCGUGGGGAUCAAACAGGAUUAGAUACCCCAGUAGUC
rnacentral:rRNA from 1 species